UGGGUGAGUAAUGUAUGGGGAUCUGCCUGAUGGCGGGGGAUAACUACUGGAAACGGUAGCUAAUACCGCAUAACGUCGCAAGACCAAAGAGGGGACCUUAGGGCCUCUUGCCAUCGGAUGUGCCCAGAUGGGAUUAGCUAGUAGGUAAGUUAACGGCUUACCUAGGCGACGAUCCCUAGCUGGUCUGAGAGGAUGAUCAGCCACACUGGGACUGAGACACGGCCCAG
rnacentral:rRNA from 1 species